UACGGAGGGUGCAAGCGUUGUUCGGAAUUAUUGGGCGUAAAGGGCGCGUAGGCGGUGCGGUAAGUCACCUGUGAAAUCUCCUGGCUCAACCUGGAGACGCCACCCGAUACUGCUGUGGCUAGAGUCCGGUAGGGGAGCGUGGAAUUCCUGGUGUAGCGGUGAAAUGCGCAGAUAUCAGGAGGAACACCAGCGGCGAAGGCGGCGCUCUGGGCCGGUACUGACGCUGAGGAGCGAAAGCGUGGGGAGCAAACAGG
rnacentral:rRNA from 1 species